AGACCCUUCCAGACCGCAGUUAGUAGUCCUCACAGAAAAGGGGUGAUAUCCGCUCCCCUCCUUGCCGGGUCCUGGGCCAACCACCUCACCUGUAUUAUCUUAUCCUUUUCACAACAAAGUCCAGGAACACAAUAUUUUCCAGCUUUGGAUGCUGAGGCUGGGGUGUCAAGUCACUCACCCAAAGCUGGGCUGCUGGAAGCAGCAAAGCUGGGAUUCUAGCCCAGGCUGACCCGUGGCCGCGGACAGGAAUGAUCUGCUAAUAAGCACUUGGAAGGUACUGAGCGCGGAGCCUGGCCUGGCUCCAGGAGCUGGUGCUGUGAACUCCAUCAGUUACCCCAUUUCACAGACCCGGGAGAAGGAAGUGGGGGUAGGGGGCAAGGAGCUCGGGGUGGGCGGAGGACUGAACUAGCACCACCACCAAGGGCUCCAGUUUGGGGAGCCACCAGGGCAGCCCAGUUUAUAACCCCAGCUCUGGGCGGGCUUGGGCAAGCCACUUAGACUCGCCCCAUCUCCCCUUCCUCAUCUGUAAGAUGAAAAUCUCCCCUGCUUCACAGAACGUUGUGAAAAUUAAAUCAGUGCAUACUGUUAAAGCACUCAGCACAGUGCCUGGCGCGCAGUAGGCAGUUCAUGAUAGCUUCUAUUAUUAUUUUUAUUACUAUUACUAUUUUAUUGUUCUGAACGGGGCUCCCAUUUGUCCCCUUGAAACGUCCUCUCACCUGGGGUCACCUGAGGACAAGGCUCUGCGGAAGGGAGGGGGGUGUCAGGUGAACAGCUUUGGGGCCGCAGGGAGAGAGAGGCUUGGUCUUCUUGGGGUCUCUGGAAGUCUGUCCCCAGGCUGCUCCCCGGGGUGGGGCAGUGGAGAAAGGAGCUGGGCCCAGAGGAGUUAACAGUUUGCAGGCCUCGGGCCCAGCCGCCCUGCCACGCUGCAGCUACAGCCCGGGCAAGGAUCUGAGCUGAGAAGCCAGGCCUGCUCCCUGAUGGGCAAAACAGCUGGCUGCCCGGGGAAAACAGCUGGCCUUGCCCCAGCUUCCUGAGGACGGAGGCAGAACCUCAGAGGAGGAUAGCUCCUCAUCUGGGGUCCUAGGAGACAAGGGCAUGGGCAAAAGGGAGAGAGAAGGUGGUCCGCUGGGGUGGGUGUAGGCGUUGGGUGGGACCCCUGGAGAUGAGGGGGUGUGGGCAGAUCCCUGGAGCAGAGGCCAACUUAUGCGAGGUCUCAGCGGGAUGUGCAGAGUGACUCCAGCUGGGCAAGGGGUCUCAGUCUCCCCUCAAAGAGGAGAGAUGAGGGGCAGGGGAGCCGAGGGGAGGUCAAGCCUGCACUCCGCUGGCCCUGGGUCCUCAUGGAACGGGGGCUUGGAACCUGAGCUAGGAGGGAACCCAGGGCGGGUCUCCUGGACUCCUAACCGCCGAGCUGCACCCAGGACCAGGAGCAAGGCAUGGGCUCCUCCUCUGGGCAGGAUGCUGGGCUCCCUUGACCACAAAGCAGGACAGGGGCCCAGAGAGCCCCCAACCCAGGAGACGUGAAGCUGGCAGCUGGCAUAUAAUCCACAAGACCUGGAGAAUGAGGCCAGAGUCCCCAGAGAACAGCAGCUUCAAACCUCAGCCUGCAUCACAAUCGCCCAGAAGCCUUGUUGGUUUAACCUCCGCUCCCACAGCGCAUCCGGUUCUCUGGGUAUGAAGUGGGGCCUAGGAAUUCGCAUUUCUAACUAUUUCCAGCUGGGAGAGAUUUAAGUCCUUUGGAAUGUCACAAGAAGCACCCAGAAGAGAGGGAGGCUGACGAUCCAAGAAGGGCAAGGGGAUGCCAUUUGGAGCUUGGGGACCUUUCCAUCAUGAGGAGGGGCCACUGGCUGCCAAAUCUUUGACUGGGACCUGCUGUAAGUUUGGGAGACACGCGGAAGACCAGGACUCCCAGGUUCCAUGCCCCUACAAGACUGCCUGGUAACCAGGCAAGUUCAUCCCUUGCUGGUUCCCCACCCUUCCCCUACCAGCAAAGAUAGGGUGCACAGGCUUAGCCCUCUUCCCUGACCCUGGGAAGAGCCUGAACGGAGACCCAAAGAUGAUCUAGAAAAGUAGACCCCCGCCCCAACCCCUCCACGCAGCCCAUGGGUUGGGGGUGAAUGGAAGGGGAGCCUGGCUUCUUCUCCAGUCCUGUCUUCUAGCCCCAGCAACUCUUUCCCGGCGUCAGGCUCCAUGCAGAGAGAAGCUUCGAGUGC